UCAAAUACUCUCCAUACUUCAGAGACCGAAUGCUACAGCCACAUGUUCUGACACUAACCCGAAGACGCCAAUGUCCUCAACAAAAGUACCUCAAGAAUCUGAUACCUGCAAAAACAUUAAAGUGGAGCCUAUAUCACCGAGAGCAGCAUCUAGAGAUUCACUUCCCCAGCAGUUCAUGGUCCGAGAAACCUCACCGGCCAAGACAACUGCACGCACAAUGACUCAUCUGAACUCGUCCUCUCCGAGUUUUGACCUUGGAAUAUAAAAAACCCCAAUAUCUCAUUUUACGUAAGUUCUGUGUAACUUUUUCUUUUAUGAAAUGAACUAUAUGGAAACAAAGUUAUGUAGCUUUAUGUAUAUCCGACUGAAAAAAACAGGACGAACUAGAUCUUAAUGGUCUGUCCAAAGUUCAACAACUCAGUCUGAUCAUUACUUAUAGCUCAGUUUCGUCCGGGUGUGGUUUUAUGAACCAAAUUUCAAAGACAUCAUAAUGUUAAAAGGCGAAA